rnacentral:lncRNA from 7 species
AAGCAAGGCAAAAUAGCAGCCAAAGCCACGAGAAUCAAGAAGUCAGUGAAGAGCAGGAAAGGAAUGGAGGAAUCUGGCCAGAGCUGUGCCCCUGCUUGCCACAGGAGCUGCGCGGGAGGAGAAGAAUGUGGGCCAAAAGGUAAGAGGAGCUCCUUUGGGUUCUGGGCUUGAAGCAAAGCUGAGAAGCCAUGCCCGGGAGGAGGUGUGGGUAGCUACAGGCCACCUUGCUAUCUCCCCAAGAGAUGAGGUGUGUGGGCUAGGCACCGGGCAGGAGUGCUGGCCAGAAGCAAGCAUCUCUGUGGAGGAAGGCAAAGGGCGGAGGAGGUUCAAGGGUAGCUACCGGGCAUGGCCUUGCUCAGCAAGGGGAGGAAAAGCCUGAAGGGCACGAGAAGGGGAUAGAGAAGGGCAGGCAGUAAGCGUGAAGCUGUGAGCAGAGUAGAGAGCAACUUGGCAGAGCAGCAAGCAGAGUAGGCAAGUGUUGGGGUUUGGCGUGAGUAGCAGCAAAAGCCCAUAGCAUCAAGAAGCAGGAAGUGAGGAGAAGGUAAGUGAAGGGCAGGCAAGGUAAUGGGAGGCAAAGGCAAGGGGAAAGGGGGGGUAAGGGAGAAAGAGGGAUGGGGAGGGAGGGGAUGGGUGAAGAGCAGAGCGGAGGGAAGGGCUGAGGGGAGGGCUGAAGGCAAACCUAUGAUGAAAAAAGAAAAGAAAAGAAAAUAAGAACAAAAAAUAUGAAAAAAGAGAAAAAAGAAAAGAAAAAUAAGAAAAAGAGAAAAAAUGAAAAGAAAAAAGAAAAAAAUGAAAAAAGAGAAAAAGAAAAGAAAAAAAUGAAAAAAGAAAAAGAAAAGAAAAAAAAAUGAACAAAAAAGAAAAAAAGAGAAAAAAAAAAGAAAAAGAUAAAAAAGAAGAAAAGAAAAAGAGAAUAAAAUAAAAAAGAGAAAGAAAAAUAUGAAAAAAAGAAAAAAGAAAAAAGAAAAGAAAAAACAAUAGAUGAAAAAGAAAAAACAAAAAAAACGAAUAAUGACAAGAGAAGAAAGGUAAAGAGAAAAGAAGAAAAAAGCCA